AUUCUAGAGAUGAAAGUUACUUCGGUACAUCGGUGACAGGUGGUGCAUGGUUGUCGUCAGCUCGUGUCGUGAGAUGUUGGGUUAAGUCCCGCAACGAGCGCAACCCCUAUUGUUAGUUGCCAUCAUUCAGUUGGGCACUCUAGCGAGACUGCCGGUAAUAAACCGGAGGAAGGUGGGGAUGACGUCAAAUCAUCAUGCCCCUUAUGACCUGGGCUACACACGUGCUACAAUGGUUGGUACAACGAGUUGCGAGUCGGUGACGGCGAGCUAAUCUCUUAAAGCCAAUCUCAGUUCGGAUUGUAGGCUGCAACUCGCCUACAUGAAGUCGGAAUCGCUAGUAAUCGCGGAUCAGCACGCCGCGGUGAAUACGUUCCCGGGCCUU
rnacentral:rRNA from 1 species